UACGUAGGGUGCGAGCGUUAAUCGGAAUUACUGGGCGUAAAGUGUGCGCAGGUGGCCGCGCAAGUCGAGUGUGAAAUCCCCGAGCUUAACCUGGGAAUUGCAGUCGAUACUACUCAGCUAGAGUAUGGGAGAGGGUAGUGGAAUUCCCGGUGUAGCGGUGAAAUGCGUAGAUAUCGGGAGGAACAUCAGUGGCGAAGGCGGCUACCUGGCCCAAUACUGACACUCAGGUGCGACAGCGUGGGGAGCAAACAGG
rnacentral:rRNA from 1 species